rnacentral:rRNA from 1 species
ACAUGCCUACAACAUAGCGCUAAUGCACUGGAUCCCAUUAGAACUCCACAGUUAAGCACACUCAAGCUAGAUUAGUACUGGGAUGGGUGAUCACCUGGGAAGUCCUAGUGUUUUACAUGCC